GCGACGCAGACAGUGGUGAAUUAACAGCGGACUCUAUGUCUAAUUAAAAAAGGAAGGAGGGAGAAGAAGGGAAUACGACUAGUAAAAACGUCUGCAGUCAGACGCUCCUAGAUUUUCCGCUCUUUCCACCUGCCAAAAGAUUCUACCGCCUGUCUAGACGAUGUUGACAUUCACGACCGCCUUAUUACUUUAGCAUCGCUGAUGCAAGACAACGGCGCCAAGUUUUGUUCUCACACAGCUGGCCGCGAACGUGUGCGCGCGCAAAUACUCGUACGAUCGUUCUAACUUUGCACGCAUAGAUUUCGUACUUCAACUACACGCAAACACCGUCUGCAAUUCAUUUGCAUGUCGUACAAUGUUCUCGUUCGUUGUCGCGAAUGGUUACACACGACGAAACAUCUCGCGUGACUCUUCGAUAGUAAUACACAGUGGCUCAAAAAGUAUUUCAACACCUGCAAUAGAAUAUUCUCAUGCAUAUACAUAUCAUGUACAUAACCUCGUGAAAAUAUUCCGACACUUGUAGGAUACCCUUUACAAAUUUACAUAUUACGUGUACGUUAGACGAAACAUUGUGAAAUUUCAUUAGCAUUGUUAUGAGACUUGUUGGAAAAAUAUCAUUUUAGUAUACUCCUAGAGAAUUUUGUUAUUAGAGGUUGCCAUGAAGAAGAUGACACUAUGUGUUAUAAGUUACGAGCAUGAGCGGGUACGAAAUGUGAACAGAUUAGUCGAAUAGAGAGCUGUGUGAAGAGAGCGAUGCGACGGCGAGAGUAGAGAAAAAAGAACAAAGAAAACUGUGUAGUUUAUUUCAUUUAUAUAUAUAUAUCCUAAAAACAUUGUAUGUUUUAUUCGAUUUCAUUUAAUUUCUAUAUGAAACGAGAAAUAUACUACAGUUCAUGGUUAACUGUAUCGUCUAUAUCGGCAUCGACAAGAGUUAAAACUUCUUAAUCACGCUAUAUGAACUUCUCUAAUAUUUUACUUUUAUCACUAUUUAACUGUGUAUGCACUUUCAGCCCUAGAAUUUGAUUCUGAAGCAUAUUUCGUUUAUUUAAGAAUUAUAUUUUAAGUAAUGAAGUUAUUAAAAUAAUAUGAAAGUAAUGGAGUUAUUUGAUUGUAGCAGAUCAUAUUCUGAUAAUAUUAUUUCUACUCAGUGAUAUCUAUGAAUAAUUAAUUAAAUAUUAAUAUUAAAAAACUA